GACGAACGCUGGCGGCGUGCUUAACACAUGCAAGUCGAACGAAGAGCGAUGGAAGCUUGCUUCUAUCAAUCUUAGUGGCGAACGGGUGAGUAACGCGUAAUCAACCUGCCCUUCAGAGGGGGACAACAGUUGGAAACGACUGCUAAUACCGCAUACGAUCUAAUCUCGGCAUCGAGGAUAGAUGAAAGGUGGCCUCUACAUGUAAGCUAUCACUGAAGGAGGGGAUUGCGUCUGAUUAGCUAGUUGGAGGGGUAACGGCCCACCAAGGCGAUGAUCAGUAGCCGGUCUGAGAGGAUGAACGACCACAUUGGGACUGAGACACGGCCCAGACUCCUACGGGAGGCAGCAGUGGGGAAUCUUCCGCAAUAGACGAAAGUCUGACGGAGCAACGCCGCGUGAGUGAUGACGGCCUUCGGGUUGUAAAGCUCUGUUAAUCGGGACGAAAGGCCUUCUUGCGAAUAGUGAGAAGGAUUGACGGUACCGGAAUAGAAAGCCACGGCUAACUACGUG
rnacentral:rRNA from 1 species